rnacentral:rRNA from 1 species
CGCCCAUUAAAGCGGUACGCGAGCUGGGUUCAGAACGUCGUGAGACAGUUCGGUCCCUAUCCGUCGUGGGCGUAGGAAAUUUGAGAGGAGCUGUCCUUAGUACGAGAGGACCGGGAUGGACAUACCUCUGGUGUACCAGUUGUCGUGCCAACGGCAUAGCUGGGUAGCUAUGUGUGGACGGGAUAAGUGCUGAAAGCAUCUAAGCAUGAAGCCCCCCUCAAGAUGAGAUUUCCCAACUUCGGUUAUAAGAUCCCUCAAAGAUGAUGAGGUUAAUAGGUUCGAGGUGGAAGCAUGGUGACAU